AACGGUCUAUACCUGCGGUACCUGCGGAGGGAUCAUUACUGAAUGUUGCCUUGAUGGGUUGUCGCUGGCUCUGAAAAACUCAGAGCAUGUGCACGCCUGUCUUGACUUCUAUUCAUCCACCUGUGCACCUUUUGUAGUCUUGUUUGGUGGCCUGGAGAAGCAGGUGCAGCUCAGCUGUGCUUGUGAUAACCUUCCCACUGAGAGGGCUAUGUCUUUUCACAAUUAUACCACCUAGAAUGU
rnacentral:misc_RNA from 1 species